AUUGUCGCAUGUCUAUUGUACUUCAUCAGGUGCUCUGGUUGCUUUAGAUACCCGGCACAUGAUGGAGUACACUUCAUGUGCGAUCAA
rnacentral:pre_miRNA from 1 species